AGGAGAGAGCAGGAGGGAGCCUGGGUGAGGCUGAGGCUGCAACCAAAGUGAGGACAGGUGCCCUGGGGCCUCCCAGGAGGGCCUGAAUCCAGCCCUUCUCUUCCAGAUCUCCUCCUUCCUCCAGCUCCUCCCUCCAGGGACAGGAGACACUCCAGUCUUAGCCAUCUCCAUCUUCAUCUCCAUCCCCGAGGAGAUGGGGAAGGAUGAGGGGGACGAGAUGAGUCAUGCUACCGGAGUAACAUUGAGGAUGGCACUGCCCUGGAAUAGGAGCUCCAGUAGGAUGGUAGAAGUCAAGUACAGCGCCUGGCUGGCUGCAGAGACUCAAUAGCAUCUGUAGAAUGCGGAAAAAAAUCAAUGAUGCCAUUGAGGGGAGCUGUAACACGUCUGGGAGGACCUUCUGAUCUCCCUCAGGACCUUGGGAGGACAAAAGCACCAGCUGGGGGCAUCCAGGACCGAAGACCUCAACACCAGAGGGGACGUGCCCCAUACUCACGGUGAGGUGCGAGUUGGUGACAGUGACCGUGGCCUGCAGCCCUAGGGAGAUGUUGGGCAGA